AACUAUUUGGCCGACAGGAAAGCAAAUGUUUUGAAAACAUCUCACAGAGGUUCAAAUCCUCUAAUAGUUU
rnacentral:tRNA from 1 species